rnacentral:rRNA from 1 species
UACGUAGGGUGCGAGCGUUAAUCGGAAUACUGGGCGUAAAGCGUGCGCAGGCGGUGAUGUAAGACAGAUGUGAAAUCCCCGGGCUCAACCUGGGAACUGCAUCUGUGACUGCAUAGCUAGAGUACGGUAGAGGGGGGAUGGAAUUCCGCGUGUAGCAGUGAAAUGCGUAGAGAUGUGGAGGAACACCGAUGGCGAAGGCAGCCCCCCUGGGCCUGCACUGACGCUCAUGCACGAAAGCGUGGGGGAGCAAACAGG